CUUUAGUUAUAAUGAACAUGGGCAGGCAAACAGAUCUCACAAGAUGCUUCAAUGUCUGAAAAUUUGCAGUUUCUGUUUUAAAAUUUGGAGAACACCUCGUUUACACUGCAGAUUAAAGGGAGGCAUUUCUUGAGGUGGAAUAGAGAAUAAAAAGGUUUUGAGGAGACAAAAUUACUGAAAAACAAAAGAGGAGCACUCCACAAGGUGACCAGUUUUUUAAAGACUUGCCUUGUUCUCUCCAAGUCAUCAGUUGCUGCUACGUCCCAUCUUUAAUUCAGCUGGACCCUCAGCACAGUGAAUUGUGUGUCCUAUUAAUAUAAGGACAUACAACAUUUUUACAGUGAUGAUGCUUCCCUGGCGGUGCAGUUGUUAAGGAUCCACCUUGCAGAGCCAAGUCCACUUGGUCUGGGAAGAUUCCACAUGCCAUGGAGAAACAGCCCGUGCAUCACAACUACGGAGCCCACGUGCUGCAACUACUAAAGCCUGUGAGCCUAGAGCCUGAGCUCUGCAGGGAGGGAAGUCAGCGCAACGAGAAGCCUGCCCAUGACAACAAAGGUGGCCGCAGCGCGCUGCAGCUGGAGAAAGCCCUUGUGCAGCAAUGAAGACCCAUCACAGCCAAAAA